AACGAACGCUGGCGGCAUGCCUAACACAUGCAAGUCGAACGAGACCUUCGGGUCUAGUGGCGCACGGGUGCGUAACGCGUGGGAACCUGCCCGUAGGUUCGGAAUAACUCCCCGAAAGGGGUGCUAAUACCGGAUAAUGUCUUCGGACCAAAGAUUUAUCGCCUUUGGAUGGGCCCGCGUUGGAUUAGCCAGUUGGUAGGGUAAAAGCCUACCAAGGCGAGGAUCCAUAGCUGGUCUGAGAGGAUGAUCAGCCACACUGGGAAUGCGACACGGCCCAGACUCCUACGGGAGGCAGCAGUGGGGAAUAUUGGGCACUGGGCGAAAGCCUGAUACAGCAAUGCCGCGUGAGUGAUGAAGGCCUUAGGGUUGUAAAGCUCUUUUACCCGGGAUGAUAAUGACAGUACCGGGAGAAUAAGCACCGGCUAACUCCGUG
rnacentral:rRNA from 1 species